AGACACGUGUGGGAGGAACGGCGUCUUGGCUCCCGGGCUGUGCGCAGCGCCAGCGUGGCCGGCACCCACUUGCUGCAGAGCCGGCACUGCACUGGGGUCCUGGGGGCGGCUCCUCCAGACGUCUCCGCGGGUUGUCGGGUGCUGCCAAGUUGGGCUGGGGGACGCCACAGGUAGUGGUGGGUCCCGAGCAGCGGCUGGCCCCUCAUCUCACUGCCCCUCCCCGCAGCUCUGCCUCCUCGGACCCCACCGUCCCCUGGAAGCUCGCGCAGGGCACCUGCCACUGUGACCACUUGGACGCGGGUUUUCCUGGUGUCUUUGCAAAAGCUCAGGAUCGGACUUUGUCAGCAAGGUGGGUCCCUCCUCUCAGCAUAGCAAGCUUGUUUCUACCCUGGUCCCGAGAACCUCAGAGGCUGAAGCUUGAGUCCCCACCUGAAGGUGUCUGCUUUUCCAGAAUAGAGAAGAAGAACUAUGGCCCAGGGGUCACUGUCAUUCGGGGACGUGGCUGUGGGCUUCACCCGGAAAGAGUGGCAGCAGCUGGACCUGGAGCAGAGGACCCUGUACCAGGAUGUGAUGCUGGAGAUCUACAGCCACCUGCUCUCUGUGGGGUGUCAAGUCAGCAAACCAGCUGUGAUCUCCAGUUUGGAGCAGGGGAAGGAGCCAUGGAUGGAGGAGGAAGAGAUAAGGACGUGGAGCUUCCCAGAAGAAGUUUGGCAAGUUGCUACCCAGCCAGAUAGCCAACAGCAACACGAAGACCAACAUUUGAGCCAUACGUUUCUAGACAAGAAAGACUGGACCGGAAAUGAGCUUCAUGAAUGUAACGAACUUGGAAAAAAACUCCAUCAGAACCCAAACCUCCUUCCAUCAAAACAGCAGGUCCGCACACGUGACUUGUGCAGAAAGAGUUUGAUGUGUAACCUGGACUUCACUCCUAACGCCUACCUGGCGAGGAGGAGAUUUCAGUGCGACGGCCACGGAAACUUCUCUAUUCGAAACUUGAAACUCCACCUUCAGGAGCGAAUCCACGCGGAGGUCACCAGUGUGGCAGUGCUUUAAGCUGUGACGAGGGAGUUCCUGCAGCUCAGGGAGCCAGUAGUGAGAAACCCCACGAAUGCACGAAGUGUGGGAAAGCCUUGUGCUGCAGAUCGGACCUCAGGGUACAUCACGGGGUCCACGCGGGGGAGAAGUCCUCUGCGUGCAGUGAACGGGGGAGUGGUUUCAGGGAGAAGCUUUGCCCUGACAAACAGGGAACUCACACAAAGGAGAAACCCGCUAGAGACAGAAGUGGUAAAACGAUCUUCCGGAAGACACGCCUGUGUGUCCCGGGCACAGUUCACGCCGGAGCGAAGCCUUACAAGUGUUGGGAGUGUGAGAAAACCUCCCACAAGUCGCGCCUCAUCGAGCACCUUCGCUCCCACCCGGGGGAGAAGCCCUGCGGCUGCAGGGAAUGCGGAAAGGCCUUUUUCCAGAAGUCACACCUCAUCCUGCGUCAGAGGACUCACACGGGGGAGAAGCCCUGCGGCUGCGCGGAGUGCGGGAAAGCUGCUCCCAGGACUCCUGCCUCCUGACCCACAGGCGGACUCGCGGGGAAGAAACCGUACGAGUGCUCCGACUGCG
rnacentral:lncRNA from 1 species